rnacentral:piRNA from 1 species
UGAAGUGUUAGGCCGGUGGGCUAGGAG